rnacentral:rRNA from 1 species
UACGAAGGGGGGCUAGCGUUGCUCGGAUUCAUUGGGCGUAAAGGGUGCGUAGGUGGCGCUGUAAGUCGGGUGUGAAAUUUCGGAGCUUAACUCCGAAACUGCAUUCGAUACUGCGGUGCUUGAGGACUGGAGAGGAGACUGGAAUUCAUGGUGUAGCAGUGAAAUGCGUAGAGAUCAUGAGGAAGACCAGUGGCGAAGGCGGGUCUCUGGACAGUUCCUGACGCUGAGGCACGAAGGCCAGGGGAGCAAACGGG